rnacentral:rRNA from 1 species
GAUGAACGCUGACAGAAUGCUUAACACAUGCAAGUCAACUUGAAUUUGGGUUUUUAACUUAGGUUUGGGUGGCGGACGGGUGAGUAACGCGUAAAGAACUUGCCUCACAGCUAGGGACAACAUUUGGAAACGAAUGCUAAUACCUAAUAUUAUGAUAAUAGGGCAUCCUAUAAUUAUGAAAGCUAUAAGCGCUGUGAGAGAGCUUUGCGUCCCAUUAGCUAGUUGGAGAGGUAACGGCUCACCAAGGCGAUGAUGGGUAGCCGGCCUGAGAGGGUGAUCGGCCACAAGGGGACUGAGACACGGCCCUUACUCCUACGGGAGGCAGCAGUGGGGAAUAUUGGACAAUGGACCGAGAGUCUGAUCCAGCAAUUCUGUGUGCACGAUGAAGUUUCUCGGAAUGUAAAGUGCUUUCAGUUGGGAAGAAACAAAUGACGGUACCAACAGAAGAAGUGACGGCUAAAUACGUG